rnacentral:tRNA from 1 species
GUUAAGGUGGCAGAGCCCGGUAAUUGCAUAAAACUUAAACUUUUAUAUCCAGAGAUUCAAAUCCUCUCCUUAACACCA